UCUCAGGAGGAUAGGAUUCUCAGAAUAU
rnacentral:piRNA from 1 species